UGGGGAAUAUUGGACAAUGGGCGAAAGCCUGAUCCAGCCAUGCCGCGUGUGUGAAGAAGGUCUUCGGAUUGUAGAGCACUUUAAGUUGGGAGGAAGGGCAGUAAGCGAAUACCUUGCUGUUUUGACGUUACCGACAGAAUAAGCACCGGCUAACUCUGUGCCAGCAGCCGCGGUAAUACAGAGGGUGCAAGCGUUAAUCGGAAUUACUGGGCGUAAAGCGCGCGUAGGUGGUUCGUUAAGUUGAAUGUGAAAGCCCCGGGCUCAACCUGGGAACUGCAUCCAAAACUGGCGAGCUAGAGUAGGGCAGAGGGUGGUGGAAUUUCCUGUGUAGCGGUGAAAUGCGUAGAUAUAGGAAGGAACACCAGUGGCGAAGGCGACCACCUGGGCUCAUACUGACACUGGGGUGCGAAAGCGUGGGGAGCAAACAGG
rnacentral:rRNA from 1 species